rnacentral:rRNA from 1 species
UACGUAGGGUGCGAGCGUUAAUCGGAAUUACUGGGCGUAAAGCGUGCGUAGACGGUUUCGUAAGUCGGGUGUGAAAUCCCCCGGGCUCAACCUGGGAAUUGCAUUCGAAACUGCGAGGCUAGGGUACGGAAGAGGGAAGCGGAAUUUCUGGUGUAGCGGUGAAAUGCGCAGAUAUCAGGAGGAACACCGGUGGCGAAGGCGGGGUCUCUGGGCCGAUACUGACGCUGAGGAGCGAAAGCGUGGGGAGCAA